AAUUAAUUAACAACUAAAUCUGAUCAGAGUUCAAAACCUGGAAUUUGGAUCAAAUUGAUGAAUGAAAGAUGAAACAAAAUCUGCCCUGGUUGUGAAUGGAUGAAAGGUUUUCUCUUGUUUAAAACCAGGAUACAGGUUCCAAUGGAGGUUGGAACCAAAACAAAUGUGGACCUAAAAUGUUCUUUUCUCUCCCAUCAUCCACCAAAGACCAAGUUCUGAUCCAGAACCUGAGCCCAGUUGUUUGUCCCUGAGGAUCAACCAGGCAGCAGGAUGGAAAUCCCACCCAGACCUGAAGUCAGAUCCUCAGUUAGACUUUAACCAACAAGAGCAAAAUGUCAACCAAAAGCAGAAACAUUUGUGGAGCUAAAAUCAGAAAGAGAAAAAUUAAACCGUAUUCUGACUUAAAACAAGUUUAACAACAAUUCUCUAAAAUACCAUUUUCUUGGUUGACAAAUAAAUAAAAAUAUUGAACAUUUAUCAUAUUUAAAUGUAUUAAAUUUAAAAGACGUCUGCAUUGUUGUGUUUUUUUAAUAAAUUGUUCCUCCACAGAGUGAACCAGCAGAGCUCAGAGGUUCCCAACGGUCCGUCUGCACAGCAGCACCAAACACAGCUGGACUCCAUAUUUACGGAGCUGGAGCCAAACUUGGUCCUUUUUAUAAAGAACCAGCUGAAGAAGAUCCAGAAGGUUUUGAAUCCAUGUUACCCAGAAUGCUCAGAGUCAGAAGGAGGAUGAGGAGGUGGUUGAUGAUGAAGAGCAGAAGAGGAGGAGCAGCACAGAAGCUUUGCUGAAGAUCGUAGCUUUUCUUCCAGAGGAAGAUGAAUCAGGAGGAACUGGCCGAGCCUCUGCAGAGCAGGAAGAAAAGGAUUCAAAUCUCAAUUUUCAACCAAAUAACUGGAAAACAAUUA